CCCCUCUCAGGGUCACACCUGGAGAGCUUCCAGUACUCUACCGGUCUUGGCUACUGGGGGGAGAGUCAAGCAGAGUUAUAUCCAUUCCAUUCCUAGCUUGGCCAGUGGCUAGGGAGUGGAGGGCAAUCUACUACAAGU